AUGCAUGUCAACUUAAGGGACUUUUGUAAGAUGACAUGUAGCGGUACGUCGCGGUCACCUGACAUGUACAGCCAUCCGCUCAAAUCAUGUCAUUGCCUGAUCAAUUCCUACAAGAAUUUUUUACACGGCACACAUAACACUUCCGUUCCCCAGUUGGUAUCCUGCUUGCUCAUGGGAGAGCGAGCGAAGGGAGGAGGAGAAGGCCGCCCAGCUGCAGGGCUCGUGAACGACAGCGGUGGUGACCGCCCGCGCGUCGUCGGCAGCGGAGGGGAGGGAUCUCUCCGGCCGGUUGAGCUCGACCUCAUCGGCACGGUCGGUGCGGAGGCACCUCUGGGUUUGCGCGCCGCGCCGGCCGCCGUGUCGGCGGAGGCCGAGCAGGAGCCGCGGCAGCUGUUCCGCUGUCACUACUGCCGGCGGGAUUUCUACAGCUCGCAGGCGCUCGGCGGGCACCAGAACGCGCACAAGCGUGAGCGCACGCUCGCAAGGCGCCACGCCGGCGUGCCAGCGCCGCUCGGACAGCAUGGUUACGCCUUCGCCAUCCACGGCGGGCUCGGUGUGGCGGGGCCUGGCGAGCUGCCGAGCUGGUUCGGCGCAUUCAACGUCCGGAGGGCGGCGUUCGGCGAGGAGGAAGGCUGGCGACGGCGGAGUGACGGAAGUGUUGGCCACUGUGGUGAUGGCGAUCAAGAGCUGCCGAAGCUUGACUUGACGCUAAAGCUCUAA
rnacentral:rRNA from 1 species